GAGUGAACGCUGGCGGUAGGCCUAACACAUGCAAGUCGAACGGCAGCACAGUAUGAGCUUGCUCUUACGGGUGGCGAGUGGCGGACGGGUGAGGAAUACAUCGGAAUCUACUUUUUCGUGGGGGAUAACGUAGGGAAACUUACGCUAAUACCGCAUACGACCUACGGGUGAAAGCAGGGGAUCUUCGGACCUUGCGCGAUUGAAUGAGCCGAUGUCGGAUUAGCUAGUUGGCGGGGUAAAGGCCCACCAAGGCGACGAUCCGUAGCUGGUCUGAGAGGAUGAUCAGCCACACUGGAACUGAGACACGGUCCAGACUCCUACGGGAGGCAGCAGUGGGGAAUAUUGGACAAUGGGCGCAAGCCUGAUCCAGCCAUACCGCGUGGGUGAAGAAGGCCUUCGGGUUGUAAAGCCCUUUUGUUGGGAAAGAAAAGCAGCAGGUUAAUACCCCGCUGUUCUGACGGUACCCAAAGAAUAAGCACCGGCCAACUUCGUG
rnacentral:rRNA from 1 species